UAGGGAAUCUUCGGCAAUGGACGAAAGUCUGACCGAGCAACGCCGCGUGUGUGAAGAAGGUUUUCGGAUCGUAAAACUCUGUUGGUAGAGAAGAACGUUGGUGAGAGUGGAAAGCUCAUCAAGUGACGGUAACUACCCAGAAAGGGACGGCUAACUACGUGCCAC
rnacentral:rRNA from 1 species